rnacentral:misc_RNA from 1 species
GAUGAAGAACGUAGCGAAAUGCGAUAAGUAAUGUGAAUUGCAGAAUUCAGUGAAUCAUCGAAUCUUUGAACGCACAUUGCGCCCGCCAGUAUUCUGGCGGGCAUGCCUGUUCGAGCGUCAUUUCAACCAUCAAGCCCCCGGCUUGUGUUGGGGACCUGCGGCUGCCCGCAGGCCCUGAAAACCAGUGGCGGGCUCGCUGUCACACCGAGCGUAGUAGCAUAUAUCUCGCUCAGGGCGUGCUGCGGGUUCCGGCCGUUAAAAGCCUUUUUUUACCCAAGGUUGACCUCGGAUCAGGUAGGAAGACCCGCUGAACUUAAGCAUAUCAAUAAGCGGAGGA